GGGCCCGCACAAGCGGUGGAGCAUGUGGUUUAAUUCGAUGAUACGCGAGGAACCUUACCAGGGCUUAAAUGUAGUGGGACAGGUCUAGAGAUAGACCCUUCUUCGGACUCAUUACAAGGUGCUGCAUGGUUGUCGUCAGCUCGUGCCGUGAGGUGUCAGGUUAAGUCCUAUAACGAGCGCAACCCCUACCGUUAGUUGCCAGCGUGUAAUGACGGGGACUCUAACGGAACUGCCGGUGCAAACCGUGAGGAAGGUGGGGACGACGUCAAAUCAUCACGGCCCUUACGUCCUGGCCACACACGUGCUACAAUGGUAGGUACAGAGGGCAGCUACCGGGUGACCGGAUGCG
rnacentral:rRNA from 1 species